GAAAUAAAGGGUGCGCGUAAAGUGUUAAAAUAAAACCAUAUAAAAGACAAAUGUCAAUAAUUAAAUUCUAUCUUUGUAUAAUAUGGCAUUCGCCCGUUCUAUACAAAAAAAAAAAAAAAACCAGGUUAUCAAGAGUUUUUAUCGAAUUUAUCGGGUGUUCCACUUGUUUAGAACAGAAAGCUCUCUUUAACUCAGUCCACAACUAGAAAACGUGCUAC